GGCGAAACGACAAUGGAGGACACCCACCCGUACGAGAGUUUUAUUGAGGUUUAUUUUGAAAUCGGCCUAAAAUACAAAGACAUUCAAGCAGUGCGAUGCACGAGGAGUCUGCCGUGCAGACCAGCGAUCCUGAUCAUGUCUUGGAUGAUGAGGUCCAGUUACCAGGACCACUACUCUGCAGCUCACAGAUCCCAUCCUGCAGCUCAUCCACGCCGUCCUCCUCUCAACAGACCAAAUCAAGAAAAACUAAGCAGGAUGCUACUGUGGAUCUGCUCUUCAGAUUAGCUCUGCUGUGAUUAACAAUCUGCCUUCAUCGCAGUCACAGGCAGCGGAGAAGGCAGAUGGUCUUAAGGUUAAUUGCGAGGCAGAGGUCAGCUGUUGCCUGGAUAUCCGGGAUCACGCCACUGUUGGGACACAAUUGUACAGCUGAAGGCUGCUGUUCUGUCCAAACUGUCAUGAAACACUGACAUUUUUAUUGUGAUAUACCCACCACUGUUGUUAGUUUUUGUUUCAAUAAAUUGUUUGAGAUGAGGAAAUCACUGUUGCAUGUUUCUACUUAACUGCCCUACUUUCAUGAUUUUGUGUCACCAUAGCAUGAAUUUUUUACAUUUUCCAUAAAUUUCACCCAAAAGUUGAAUAACUAUUUGUGAGCAGUGUAUGUAGACACGUCAU